rnacentral:rRNA from 1 species
GUCUUUUUGAAUUUAAAUUUAAAGUCUAAUCUGCCCACUGAUAAAUUAUUUAAUGGCCGCAGUAUUUUAACUGUGCAAAGGUAGCAUAAUCAUUAGUUUUUUAAUUGAAAGCUUGUAUGAAUGAUUGAACGAGAUAUAAGCUGUCUCAUAAAAAUUUUUAAUAGAAAUUAAUUUUUUAGUAAAAAAGCUAAAAUAAUUUUAAAAGACGAGAAGACCCUAUAGAUCUUUAUAAAAUAAUUUAUUUAUUUUUUUUUAGAUUUUUUAAAUAUUAAUAAAUUAUUUUAUUUUGUUGGGGUGACAUUGAAAUUUAUAAAACUUUCAAAUUUUUUAAGCCAUUAAUUUAUGAAUUGAUGAUCUUUUAUUAUUGAUUAAAAAUUUAAGUUACCUUAGGGAUAACAGCGUAAUUAUUUUGGAGAGUUCUUAUCAAUAAAAUAGAUUGCGACCUCGAUGUUGGAUUAAGAUAAAUUUUAGGUGUAGAAGCUUAAAGUAUUAAGUCUGUUCGACUUUUAAUUUCUU